GCAGAGAGUAUGAUAAAAGAUUUCCUUUCAUUUGUAUAAACACUUCAGGAUUGCUUUGUGCGUGUGAAGGGAAAACCAAAGUUGCAUGAUGAGUCACUUCUCAGCCAUAACUUCUGAAGACUUAUAGCCUCAGUGCACUUCUAAGAUCCAGAGCCUUAUAAGAUGCAAGGAUGUCAUCUUACCUGUCUUUUGUCCUUUUUUGGAACCAUUAAAGAAAAACUGGAAACUGGAGUGAUAUAUGAAGAAUUGACAGCUUUCUCAGCAGGGAAGAUCGGCCUUUUUACAUUGGAAGACUUUUGUCUGUGGUGUAUCCAUUUCAGAGCCUUCUCACCUGCUUUAGAAAAGCUGGGUGAAAUAUGGGAAGCCACAAUUGUGAAGAUCAAGUAUGCAAACAGCUUAGUGACCUAUUCAAGGAAUACAGCCACUGCCAAACAGCUUGAGGUUCAUUUUUCCAUAGUGACUUUACCUGGACACAUACAGGAAAACAUAAACUAUGCAGUACCUAAAGAGGAAGUAUAUUAUUUAUUUCAUUUUUCUGUUAGCUGUCAUCAUGUUUACAAAUUUAAGUGGAAUAUACUCACUCAUUUGGCAUUUUUGUAAGAUUGGUGAUGGAGAGAUGAAAGAAUAAGAUAAUUUUAGUCUUGAAAUAGGUUCAUACUGUAUAUAGUAUACUAUAUGCAUAGUAUUAGGUAUAGCUAUAGGUGUUUUAUAUUAUAUAUGUAAAAGUAGUUUCUCUAAGUGUACCAAUACUUACAAAGUUUGAUUCCUGUGUUUACUCAGGGCCUUAUCUGACAAUUUUAUAGUGAUAUCCCUGCUGGUUUGAUGUAGUAAUCCAUUACAAUGUAACCAAAAGUAAAAGGAAAUCAAUAAAAAUAGAAAAUAGAAAACCAUUUUUUCCGCAGCUGCUCGCUAUCACUUCUGAGAAUGAGCAGGCAAGUCCACAUUUCCAAGUGCGCAGCAGCCCAGACAAGAAGUGAGUCCUUUGCUCAGAGGUU